UGGGUUUGACAUGCUAGUUAAAGCGGGUGAAAGCCCGUGUCCGUAAGGGGCUAGCACAGGUGCUGCAUGGCUGUCGUCAGCUCGUGCCGUGAGGUGUUGGCUUAAGUGCCGCAACGAGCGCAACCCCUGCUCUUAGUUGCCAGCGGGUAAUGCCGGGGACUCUAAGAGGACUGCCGGGGACAACUCGGAGGAAGGUGGGGAUGACGUAGACCUUGGACC
rnacentral:misc_RNA from 1 species